UGAAGAUUACACACUAGUCUAGAAGUCUAAAGACAUUUGUCUUUGUAGAAAGACACAUGUUGUUUGAGACUUGACAAUUGUCUCUUUGCAUGUAAGGCGUUGAACUCUAUAUAAGAGAGUCUUGGUGAAAAAAUGCUACAAGAUACUCUCUCUACUUAGCCAUAGUUUUCAUCCAUAGUAGUGCAAGAGAUAUCCAAGGGACUUCGGAUAGAGGACACCUGAACUCUUUGGAGAUAAAGAAAGCAUCUACAUCAACAAGCUUAACGACCAAAGGAGUUGUUUGCUGAGAUGAAGAGAGUUUCCAACAAUGAAGAAGAGGAUGACAACGAUGAUGAUGAUCGAACCAGUUUUCCACAUGAAUCCUCUUCAUGGAUUUUUCGCAAUUGAAUCAAUGAAUCUCCAAGUUCCCACUCCACAUUUCAUAUUUCUGGUCUUCACCUUCGAGACAGUAAUUCCGAGUCCGACACCCCUACUAUGCAUCACUCUGCUGAACAGGGUACAGAUGCUUUACAAUCUGGGUUGUCGGAGGGUUACCAAAGGCUCAUCAUCGGACCUGAGGGAUUCAUGUAUGAUUUAUCCUUUACGUUUUGUGAUUAUCUUUAUCAGCUAAUUCUUUAAUUUAACCUCUUAAUAUUUAAUUGUUGUAUUGGAAGUUUACUAGGCGCGGAGACUACGAAGAUAAUUACAGACGCCAUUGGCGAUCUUUUAAAUCCAGCAUACCUGACGUAGGGUGAUAUCCAAUAGCCGCUCAAGCCACAAAUCUUCAAUGAGUUUAAGAAAAAAUGUGUAUGGCUUCCCCGCCAUGGCAGAUAGGUUGCUACUAACUUUGAAAAGAAAAUAAGGUAUAGGCUAGUCGACUUAUUUUCAGCCUCUCAUAGAAGAGGUACGAAGGCCAGGUGGUGUCUACCCUAUAUAUGAGAAAAUCUAUGCAGACAUUAGGCCACUCAUGAGAAGCUUACGCAGAGGAGAAAACUGGGAAACAAAGCUAGAGCAUCUGAGAGAGAUGACUCCUUGAGCAGUAGGAUAAGUGAACUAGGUUCUAGUGCAGAGCUUGGGCGAUGUUUCUAAUGAGAGCCUCUUACAUGACAAUUAACUCCACGUUUACAGAUGUUGUGAGCAUAGAGAAUGUUGAGAGAAGAUUGAUUAUAUUUUUCUUAAAUACUAUUUUAUUAAAUAUAUUGGACUAAAUUUGGUUAACUCAAUUUAAUAAAAAAAAAUAGUAUUUAAGAUUUAAGAGAAAAAUACCAAUUCUCUCUUAACAUUCUCUAUGAUGACAACACUUGUAAACGUGGAGUUAAUUGUCAUGUAAGGGGCUCUCAUCAGAAACAUCACCUAAAUCCUGCACUAAAACCUAGUUCACAUGUCCUACUGCUCAAGGAGUCAUCCCUCUUAGAUGCUCUGGCUUUCUUUCCCAGUUCGCUCCUUUACGUAAACCUUUCAUGAGUGGCCCAGUGUCUGCAUAGAUCUUCUCAUAAAUCCUACUAUUCCUUUCAAUCCAUAUGCCACGAAUCACUGCUACAAAACUAGCCUUCCAGAUAAUCCCUCUAGGAUGUUUGCCCCUAGCUUGCUGCAUUACCCAGUGCCACAAUGUUUCCCAAUCUGUUUUAUCCUCCUUGCCAUUUUUGCUACUCCAAGAUGUUUUUCCAGAUAUUAUAAGUGUAGGUGCAGCCAAAGAAUAGUUGUGCCUUUGUUUCUGGUUCAAUUUGAUAGAACACACAUAACUCAUCCACAGUCAUACCCCAAGAUAUUAGAUUGUCUUUAGUUCUGACUGAAGGCAAAGCCAUAGCAUAAAUACAUGUUUAGGUUCAGCAACAUUUUGGAAGAUCAACUUCCUCCCACGAACAUUUUCCACAUCACCUCGCAACAUCUUAUAAGCACUAGAUAUGUGAGAACUCCUUCUCUGUAUAUAUCUACUACUCUGCCCAAGUGUCUGCCAGUGUUUCCUCAUGUUACAUGUUUAUUUAUUGUUUUUUUGCUUCAAGAUACAUUUACUUGUUGAGAGAUCAUUAAUCACUAAUUAAUGUUAAGAACUGAUAACACAAUGCAAGUAUUCAGGGAUAACCAUGAUCUGUAACGACCAAUAACACAAUGCAAGUAUUCAGGGACGUUAUAGUUUUUCCGGCACUUUCGCCCCUUCCCGAGUGGUUAGCUGACUUUUGACCUGAGGGGACAGUUGACUCGCUUCCCGAGGUGUCCAGAUUUGAUUCAGGCGACUUUUGUGAAAUUUGAGCUUUAAGCGAAAAAGAGUUGACUUAAAGUUGACUUUUGGGUAAACGAAUAUUUUUCAGAAAUCCGCCGAUUCCGAGUGGUCUGGAUGGUCGUUUAGAAUUUGUGGGUAUGUCUGGUUCGGUUCCCAAUGCACUCGGAUGAAUUUUGAGACUUGGGUUGGGAAGUUGAAAUUAAGUUAUUGAGGGUUGACUCGGUCAACGAGACCUCCGUUAGGAAUUCCGAGGCCACGACGCGUUCAUAGCGUAUUUUUAUGUGUGUCUGUGUAUGUGGUUUGUGAGCAGAUGGCCUCGGAAAUAAGUCAAAAAUUCGUGUUGAAGUGGGAAAGCUUGGAGUACUUUCUAGUGUCUGGUGCCCGCUUUGGCGGCACCAGCACCGCGGCAGCGGUACCGCUGAAGCGGUCACCUUGCCGCUGGAGCGGUCCUUGCCAAUUUGGCAUGAUCGCUGUAGCGGUCAUGGCACCGCUGGAGCAGCCUUGGCAUCGCAGAAACGGGUGACAAACAGUAAGUUCAUUAAAUAAAGUGUUAAAAGCCCUUAGUCUUUCAUUUAAUACCAUUCCGAAAUUUGGGUUCUUAGGAACUAUUCUUGGGGAUUAUUGGUGAAGAUUCUUGGUGGUAAGUUCUCCUAACCUUCUUGCUAUUUCAUUAUUCCUAAUCAUCUUAGAAUUCUUCUUUCCUUGUUAGUCCCUUAGUAAUGAAAGAUUAAAAGUGGGUUUUGAUGGAUGUUCUAUCUAGGCUUAUUAAUGAUAACAUUGAUAGGGUUUAUGCUAGAUUAUGAUAUAUCUAAGGUUGUUAAUCAUAUAUCUUCCAUUAUUAGUGUAGGAUUCUUGAAUCUAAGAGCUAAGGCUUACACCCAAAAUUGGGGGUUUUACUUGAAAUUCGAAAUUGGGUGGAUCCUUGAGUUAAUUUAACAAUUAGUUGUUGGGUUUUGAUCACCUAGUACUUAAUUUGAUAUUUUACUUUCGAAAUUUUUAUUUUGACCUUGUGGGCCCCGUUUCCCCAAAUUCUAGGGUUGGUUUUGCCCUAAUUUGAAUUAUAGCAAUAUAGGUAUCGAUCUUCAUGAGUUCUAAUCUAGAUUUCGAAUAUUCCUAGAUGUUCUUGAUCUUGAGGCUCAGCGGAAGGGAAUGCGAAAGAGUGAUUGUUGGUGUUUGCUGUUCGGCCAUCCAAGUAGGUUAUGGCUUACCCUUCGUGAGACUUCGUAUAGCAAAACAUAUAUUUAGAUUUUAUUGUCGGAGAAAUCAUGUAAACCUUUUGUUAUGAAGUUGGGUUAGAUAUUGUAUUAGGUUGGGCCUUGUUGUGUGAUUGGGGCUAGCUACCCCCAUUGUGUUGUGAUUAAGUUGUCCUAUUAGUGUGGGUUUGAUGCCGCAUAAUGAUAGUGGAUAUUGGAGACUAUUGAGAUAUCUUGUUCAUGAUAUUGUGUUGCCCCAUUUGUUGGCAUUUGAUUUUAGGGAUAGUGUCUUUAUAUGACUUAUGUAGUCUUUCAUGAUAUUGUUGGCGUACCCAUGUUUGGACUUGUGAUAUUGAUCUGAUUAUUCAUGUUGACUCAUACAUCGCACCCAUUCACAGCUCUCAUGAUAUAUUGUGAAUACACUGUUGAUACUUGAUGAAACACUGUGAUGAGCUGAGCUCAGUUUGCAUGAGAGUGAUGUGAGUAGUUCGAUAUCUGAUGGUUGUCCCGGAAUCGUGGAUUACGCGCGAGUGAUGUGAGUAAUCUGAUGUCUGGUGGUUGUCCCGGAAUCGUGGACUGUGUGAUGUGAAAGUCCGACGUCCGAUGAUUGUCCCGGAAUCGUGGAUGAGUAAAUACAUGGACUUCGCGGGUCCCCUAUGGGUUGUGCUAUCGGGACGUCGAUACAUCCAUUCGGAGUAUAUGUGUACACUAUAUUGCAUCGCAUCUUGGCUUAUAUUGCGAUGAACUGGUGCUUUACUUGUGUUUUUGAUUUCGGAUUGGAUAUAUAUUAAGACUUGGCAUACUUGGGUUUAGAUGCUUCAAUCUAAGUGAUGACGGAUUUUUGUUUCUUGUUGUGUUUGACUUAUACUUGUUUAUUUAUCUUCCUAUCCUGCUUUAUUGUCUGAAUUAUGUUAGCUAUACUUAGUCGGCCGAUGAUACCUACCAGUACUGUGUUUUUGUUCUGACCUGCACUUGCUGCAUUCAUUUAUGAAUACAGAGUUUCAGGUUGGAUCUGCUUCCGUCUCCUGUGGCUGAUAGUCGCUAUCAGUACAGUUUUCGAGUUUCCGGGGUGAGCACGAGACGCUCACUGCCUUGAAGACUCUUCUUAUUUAUGUCUUACUUAUCCAUUCUGAGACAUACAGAUAUGAUGUAUUAUUAUAUUUCAGACUUGUAUAUUUUUCAUUAGAUGCUCUUAUAUGGAUUAGACCAGACCCUGGGUGUAUUUUCCUAUUUCUGCACUAUUUAAUUUAUAAUAUCGUAAGACUUACGUGAUUAUUCUCUUCCGCUUAAUUGAUUUAUUUAUUUAUGUCUUUACUUAUCAUUGGCUUGAAGGUUCGCUUACCGAGGUGGAAAAGGUAAGUGCCCGCACGACUUAGUCGAAAUGGGUCGUGACAUGAUCUAAUGAACUUUUGUAUAUAUUUCCUUGAAUUCGGCUGAAUUUAUACUACUACAGUCUAUUGUUUGUUCUCCCUUGCUUCAGUUAACAUCUAGGGUGUGUAUUUUUUGGUAUGAAGAAAAAUGUUUUCCUAGAAAAUAGUUCUUAGGAAACAAGAAGGUCUCUUACUUAUUCUAGUGUUUGUGUUUGGUGAGGAAGCCAAAAGAUACUAUCCCAAGAGCAUUUUUUUGUAAUUUGUCAAAGUAUUAUGGGAUUGAGAUGGGCUAGGUAGUGAGGGUUCGAGGGUGGUGGGAUGGUUAAGGGGUAGAGGGCAGGGGGGUUUAGUGGGUGGGAAGGAGACAAUGAACUUGGAUUAUCACUUAUGGAAAUUGUUUGCCUAUUUCCGUUAGGAAAGUCACUUUUCCCAUUUUAUAAGAAACUUGUUUUCCUAGAGAAUGUUUUCCAAAACAUUUUUGACCAACCAAACAUGAGAAAAUUGAAAAGUAUUUUGAAGGAAAUGUUUUUCUCCUUAUCAAACACACUCUAAUGUCUUCCUUUUUUACUUCUUUUCGAACUUCCAUCAAAUAAGAAGAAAUAUUAGCUCACCAUUAAUUGAAUUAUAUCAUUGCUCACCUUUUUGAUUGGUGCAUAUCUGUCUUCAAUGCUUUUGCUUACUCAAUCUCUGUCUCCUUAACCGCUCAUAGAUCUGUAAUACCUUUUGGUUUUUCUACUCAUAAAUCGUGCCUAUAUAGUCAGCUAAGUAGAACAAUUUACUAUUAAAGCCAUGUAUGUGAAUCGAGGAAUUCUACUAAGUUGAUGGUUGCGUACAGCCAGAUUUUUAAACGAUUCAGAUUUGUAAAUAAUAUUCAAUUUUUUCAGUUUGAAGUUCUAAAUUUUAACCGUGGGGCAAUAUUCAAAUUAGUGUCAGUUACACUAGGACAUAUGAUGGUAACCUUCAGUUCACUACUUGAAGGAAAAUGAUCACUUCUCUCAUAAAAGAUAUUUGUUUACAGUCAGAUAGACUAGAUGAACGAGCCAAAAUAGAAGCGUACGGAGGUUGGUUGUCUUUUUACAUGGACCACGGGUUCAAGGGAUUCUUAGCAUAUCUAGGGCCAUAGGUAACAAGAUUUAUGUGAAAUACUCUAUUUUAGUCUAAGAAAGUUGACAUUGGAGCUGCUGCUUCAUUUCUUUUCCCCUUUACACCUUUGUUAGUCUCUUAAAAGCAACAAUAUUUUAAUUUCUAGGAUUGGUAAAUUUUUACUUUUUUGUAGGCAAGAACAUUUACUCCUCUAUAUGGAUGAUUACAACUUUGCAUUUUAAAUUUAAUAUUACUGUAAAUAGGUACUUCUUAUAAUCAUAUUGUCACUUUGCAAUUACAGGUGCUUUUUGCCACAAUAAAAAAGCGAAGAGGAUGACUAAGAAGAAAAUCUAACACUCUAUAGAAAAUGCCUCGCUGUUUGUUAAUACGUAAAUGAGUAUAUUGUAGUACUUUAAACAUUUACUAAUAUGAUCAUGUUAUGGCAGAUUGUAUAUUUUAUUCCAAAUGUAUGUAAAUAAUAUCCAACAAAUAGCAUGCAAUGCACUGGUUGAAUGUUGUUGGUGGAAGAGUUUCAUCGGAGUCGGCCACCAAGUGAGCAGGGCGAGCCAACACAAAUUUCAGACGAGGAUUUGGAGAAGCUUUGGUUGAAUGUUGUUGGUGGCCCAAGAAAGGGGAGAACUUACGACAUUUUUCAGCGAGCAGUUAACCCCUAUCAAUUUGGGUUGAAAGGCAUAAGAACUUCCUCAAAGGUCGAGCGAAUGAUAGGGCGAUAAUGAUGGCUAUGGAGCAGAAGAUUGCUGAACUAUAUAGCCAACUUCAAGCGUCAGAGGCCAAAGAGAGGCGUAACAUAGGGAUCAAUAGUAUGAAAAUCUUAAGGUUCAAUUAGAUUUUACUUGCUACUAGGUAUUUUCCUUUAACCCCGUGUGUUGAUGAUGCUAUCCCUCGAUCUCGGUCUCCACGCGGUCGUCCUGUAUGCGGUCUUGUGGAUGAGCCUUCUACUAGGAGUUAGACCAGGAUGUGCUAGCAAACACUCUUUGAUUUAUACUACAUACUUGUUUAGACUUACUAUUA